rnacentral:rRNA from 1 species
UACAGAGGGGGCAAGCGUUGUUCGGAAUUACUGGGCGUAAAGGGCGCGUAGGCGGCCUUCUAAGUCGAACGUGAAAUCCCUGGGCUCAACCCAGGAACUGCGUCCGAUACUGGGAGGCUUGAAUCCGGGAGAGGGAUGUGGAAUUCCAGGUGUAGCGGUGAAAUGCGUAGAUAUCUGGAGGAACACCGGUGGCGAAGGCGGCAUCCUGGACCGGUAUUGACGCUGAUGCGCGAAAGCCAGGGGAGCCAAAGCGGGG